ACGCUCGACACCUACGGAGGCAGCAGUGGGGAAUAUUGCACAAUGGGGGAAACCCUGAUGCAGCGACGCCGCGUGAAGGAAGAAGUAUCUCGGUAUGUAAACUUCUAUCAGCAGGGAAGAAAAUGACGGUACCUGACUAAGAAGCCCCGGCUAAUUACGUGCCAGCAGCCGCGGUAAUCUGAGCGGGCUGGCAAGGC
rnacentral:rRNA from 1 species